UGCGUAACACGUGAACAACUGCCCUCGUGUGGGGGAUAGCCGGGCUAACGCCCGGGUAAUACCGGAUACGUUCUCGUGGGGGAGUCCCUGCGGGAGGAAAGCUCCGGCGCACGGGGAGGGGUUCGCGGCCUAUCAGCUAGUUGGCGGGGUAAUGGACCACCAAGGCGACGACGGGUAGCUGGUCUGAGAGGAUGGCCAGCCACAUUGGGACUGAGAGACGGCCCAGACUCCUACGGGAGGCAGCAGUGGGGAAUCUUGCGCAAUGGCCGAACGGCUGACGCAGCGACGCCGCGUGUGGGAUGACGC
rnacentral:rRNA from 1 species